AGCAGCCGCGGUAAUUCCAGCUCCAAUAGCGUAUAUUAAAGUUGUUGCAGUUAAAAAGCUCGUAGUUGAAUUUCGGGAUCAAUUAAUUGGUCGUGCCUCUGGUACGUACUGAUUUUAUUGGUUUCUCCCUUCUGAAGAACCAUGAUGUCAUUAAUUUGGUGUCGUGGAGAAUCAGGACUGUUACUUUGAAAAAAUUAGAGUGUUUAAAGCAAGCUAACGCUUGAAUACAUUAGCAUGGAAUAAUGAAAUAGGACGUUUGAUCCUAUUUUGUUGGUUUCUAGGAUCGACGUAAUGAUUAAUAGGGAUAGUUGGGGGCAUUAGUAUUCAAUUGUCAGAGGUGAAAUUCUUGGAUUUAUUGAAGACUAACUACUGCGAAAGCAUUUGCCAAGGAUGUUUUCAUUAAUCAAGAACGAAAGUUAGGGGAUCGAAGACGAUCAGAUACCGUCGUAGUCUUAACCAUAAACUAUGCCGACUAGGGAUCGGAUGAUGUUAAUUUUUUAAUGACUCAUUCGGCGCCUUA
rnacentral:rRNA from 1 species